rnacentral:rRNA from 1 species
UUUACCGUGGCGUGGAACUAUCUGGCGGCGUUUUGCGUGGCGCUGUGGGCGAACGUGAACUGCCUGUUUGCGUGCCUGCUGUGGCGUCUGGCGAAAUUUCGUCGUAAACGUUUUGGCACCCUGACCGCGAACGCGGUGAACCGUCGUGCGUGCCGUAAACGUCGUCGUGCGUAUGGCGUGUGGUGGCGUGUGAAAACCUGCGUGUGGUGCGUGGUGCGUUGCGUGGGCGCGNNNAAACCGGCGUGCGUGGUGAAACCGAAAAAAACCGUGGUGCGUAACCGUGCGAAACCGGGCAAACCGAAACCGGGCCGUGCGGUGCCGGCGCGUGGCGCGGUGUAUCGUGCGGCG